rnacentral:rRNA from 1 species
AACGAACGCUGGCGGCAUGCCUAACACAUGCAAGUCGAACGAGACCUUCGGGUCUAGUGGCGCACGGGUGCGUAACGCGUGGGAAUCUGCCCUUAGGUUCGGAAUAACAGUUAGAAAUGACUGCUAAUACCGGAUAAUGACGUAAGUCCAAAGAUUUAUCGCCUAGGGAUGAGCCCGCGUAAGAUUAGCUAGUUGGUGGGGUAAAGGCCUACCAAGGCUACGAUCUUUAGCUGGCUGAGAGGAUNAUCAGCCACACUGGGACUGAGACACGGCCCAGACUCCUACGGGAGGCAGCAGUAAGGAAUAUUGGUCAAUGGACGCAAGUCU